rnacentral:rRNA from 1 species
UGUUCGCCCAUUAAAGCGGUACGUGAGCUGGGUUUAGAACGUCGUGAGACAGUUCGGUCCCUAUCUGUCGCGGGCGUAGGAGAUUUGAGGGGAGCUGCUUCUAGUACGAGAGGACCGAAGUGGACGAACCUCUAGUGUACCAGUUGUCUCUCCAGAGGCACGGCUGGGUAGCUAUGUUCGGAAGGGAUAAGCGCUGAAAGCAUCUAAGUGCGAAGCCCACCCCAAGAUGAGAUCUCCCUCAGGCUUUGCCUGACUAAAGGCCCCUCGGAGAUUACGAGGUUGAUAGGCUACAGGUGUAAGUGCAGCAAUGUAUUGAGCCGAGUAGUACUAAUAGGCCGUGCGUCUUAAUCAAUAA